AUUGAACGCUGGCGGCAGGCCUAACACAUGCAAGUCGAACGGUAACAGGAAACAGCUUGCUGUUUCGCUGACGAGUGGCGGACGGGUGAGUAAUGUCUGGGAAACUGCCUGAUGGAGGGGGAUAACUACUGGAAACGGUAGCUAAUACCGCAUAACGUCGCAAGACCAAAGAGGGGGACCUUCGGGCCACUUGCCAUCGGAUGGGCCCAGAUGGGAUUAGCUAGUAGGUGGGGUAACGGCUCACCUAGGCGACGAUCCCUAGCUGGUCUGAGAGGAUGACCAGCCACACUGGAACUGAGACACGGCCCAGACUCCUACGGGAGGCAGCAGUGGGGAAUAUUGCACAAUGGGCGCAAGCCUGAUGCAGCCAUGCCGCGUGUAUGAAGAAGGCCUUCGGGUUGUAAAGUACUUUCAGCGGGGAGGAAGGGAGUAAAGUUAAUACCUUUGCUCAUUGACGUUACCCGCAGAAGAAGCACCGGCUAACUCCGUGCCAGCCGCCGCAGUAA
rnacentral:rRNA from 1 species